CUAUUUACAGCAAGGACAGAUAGUUGGCAUCUCCCCCAACAAGGGACAGAAACAGCCUCCGGGCAUACCUGUUACCAGACACAUCCAGUUAAGGCAGCCCACUUCCGUGGAUCUUCUUACACCCAAAUUUU